CUGGACCUUUAUGGAGUUUGCCACUUCUCCUUGCUAUCCUUAACUGUAUUUGGAGUGAAUUUCCUCUCAUGGUUUCUGUUGGUGCAGAGAAAUGGUUAAUGAGAAGGUUAAUCAGAGUCAUAACUAUAACUUCAUAUAAGGGAACAAAGCCAUUCAGGAAUGUGAGGAUGAAUGUGGAGGAGAGAACAGAAGAACCUUCUUUUCUCAAAAGUUUUUCUCAUUCUGGUGAUGUUGCCAUAUAUUCUUAUUCUCUGCAUACUUGGAAUCUUAUCAAGCUGUUCCUGUAGCUCUGGAUACUUUGAAAUGGCUCUUGGGACAAUUCUCAGCCUGAUCCUGAUUGGAUGCUGGCCCAAUUCUGCAAAUUUUGAGGAACACAACAAAUUUCAAAAGGCAUGUUGUGACUUGGACUGGCUUGCAUAAGAGAGUUAUGUUGAAGCAGUUAUCUCUGAAGGAG
rnacentral:lncRNA from 1 species